rnacentral:rRNA from 1 species
UACGAAGGGGGCUAGCGUUGCUCGGAAUCACUGGGCGUAAAGCGUACGUAGGCGGCUUUUAAGUCAGGGGUGAAUCCUGGAGCUCAACUCCAGAACUGCCUUUGAUACUGAGAGCUUGAGUCCGGGAGAGGUGAGUGGAACUGCGAGUGUAGAGGUGAAAUUCGUAGAUAUUCGCAAGAACACCAGUGGCGAAGGCGGCUCACUGGCCCGGUACUGACGCUGAGGUGCGAAAGCGUGGGGAGCAAACAGGG